UACGUAGGGAGCAAGCGUUGUUCGGAUUUACUGGGCGUAAAGGGCGCGUAGGCGGCGCGGUAAGUCACUUGUGAAAUCUCUGAGCUUAACUCAGAACGGCCAAGUGAUACUGCAGUGCUAGAGUGCAGGAAGGGGCAAUCGGAAUUCUUGGUGUAGCGGUGAAAUGCGUAGAUAUCAAGAGGAACACCUGAGGCGAAGGCGGGUUGCUAGGCUGACACUGACGCUGAGUGCGCGAAAACCCAGGGGGAGCAAACGGG
rnacentral:rRNA from 1 species